UACAGAGACUGCAAGCGUUGUUCGGAUUCAUUGGGCGUAAAGGGUCCGCAGGCGGUCGGUUAAGUCGGAUGUGAAAUCUCACAGCCUAACUGUGAUAGGCCAUUCGAAACUAGCCGGCUCGAGGAGUGGAGAGGAGACUGGAAUUGCUGGUGUAGCAGUGAAAUGCGUAGAGAUCAGCAAGAACACCGGUGGCGAAGGCGGGUCUCUGGACACUUCCUGACGCUCAGGGACGAAAGCCAGGGGAGCAAACGGG
rnacentral:rRNA from 1 species